UAUCUUGAGUUCAUUGGUAUUCACGGCAAGGAAGGAAAAUAUUUCUUUUGCAAGACUUUUUCUAAUUCUUUUUCCCUUCCAAGUGAAAAACCCGACCUUCUCAAAAUCCUCCACAAAGAACUCGAUUCAAGAAGGAAGGUAUGGAAACAAGCAGCCAACCAACUUUGGGUAUUCCACCAUUUUUGAGGAAAAAGAGAUCUAUCAUCAUUUUCCUUAAAAACCCCAUAUAUUUAAAGCUUUCUCCCAAGAGAUUUGAGCUCCUUAGCAUUGAUAUUGGAGUUAGGGAAUUCAUGGUGAAGGUAAGAGCUUUAGUUUUAAGUUAUUAUAGUUGAGAAUAAACGGUUGAAUAUCGUUGUCUUGAUUGUGUAACAAAUAGUAAACUAAAUUUGGAGAAGCUUGUUUCGUGUUCGUUUCUGUUUCAACCCAAGCUUAUGGAAAGUGAUCUCUAGAGAGUUAAGGCUCCACAAUAGAGUUAAGGAGCUGGGAGUUUUAUUUGAGAGGAAGUGCAAAGGUAAAGUUAGAAUACUGUGGUGGUGUGCUGAGGGAAAUAACGAGCGACCGGCAAGUAGGAAUAGCUAGAUACACCUCCCAACAAAUAGCGAUGUAAUAUCCCGCUAUCGUAAGGGGUGGUUGGGACGUAGAUUGAGGUGUCCAUGUGCAUCCAUCUUUUGGUUGGAAGGUGCACCUGUUGCAUGCGCCAUGUCUAGAAGAGACGGUAGUCUCGACACCCCUCAUAGUACUAGUAAGGGAUCCCUAGAUUCCAUUGCUCGGAGUCGAUAUGUGCCCGAAAGUGACAGCGUAACAAGUAACUCGACCCGAUUUUUGAGUGAAUUGGUUCCCCCGAGAGGUAAACCACUAUUUAAGAGCUUAAGGAGUCUCGCAAGACUGGUGCAUAAUGAAAUCGAUUUGAGAAAAAGGAGCACGAACAAGAUGGAAAAAAAAAAGACUGUCAGUAAUUAUCGUCCUAGGAAGGUAUCUGUAUCCGUUGUCUGACACUUUCCUCUUGGUUGUGGGAGAGGUGCUGCAUUUGUUAGUAAGGAGGAAUUUGAGAGGCACCAACAAGCUCAGAUUAAGGAUAAAAUGGGAAAAUCCUAGGAAAUGGAAGAGGACUCGAAAAAGGAUCCAUCGAUGUGCUCGGAUCAAGGCGACGAGAAUCCUAAAAACACUUAAUAUUUUCAUUGAAGUUCUUAUCACUUUAAGUCUAGGCAGAUGUGGUGUAAGGGAAAUAGUAGUAGUAGUUAUCUGUACAAAGGAGUUAAGAGUUGGCCUUUAUUUGUAUGACUCGAACGGAUUAUAAAGUA